rnacentral:rRNA from 1 species
UACGUAGGUGACAAGCGUUUGUCCGGAUUUACUGGGCGUAAAGAGCGCGCAGGCGGUCGAUCAAGUCGAGUGUGAAAGCCCCCGGCUCAACUGGGGAGGGUCAUUCGAUACUGAUCGACUCGAAGGCAGGAGAGGGUAGUGGAAUUCCCCGGUGUAGUGGUGAAAUGCGUAGAUAUCGGGAGGAACACCAGUGGCGAAGGCGACUACCUGGCCUGUUCUUGACGCUGAGGCGCGAAAGCUAGGGGAGCAAACGGG